AGGGUAUAGCUCAGUGGUAGAGUGUGCACUUACCAUGCAUUAGGUCCUGGGUUCAAUCCCCAGUAACUCUA
rnacentral:tRNA from 1 species